GACGGAAGGUGCAAGCGUUACUCGGAAUCACUGGGCGUAAAGCGUCCGCAGGCGUCUCUUUAUGUCUGGCGUAAAAGCACGGAGCUCAACUCCGUGUACGUGCCGGAAACUGGAGAGAUCGAGUCAUUCAGAGGCAUCUGGAAUGUCGUGUGUAGGGGUAAAAUCCGUUGAUCCACGAUGGAACGCCAAAAGCGAAAGCAGGAUGCUGGGAAUGUACUGACGCUCAGGGACGAAAGCGUGGGGAGCAAAGGGG
rnacentral:misc_RNA from 1 species